GGGAAGCCUGGUGUGCUGCAGUCCAUGGGGUCGCAAAGAGUUGGACAUGACUGGGUGACUGAACAACAACAACAGCCCGGGGAGGUAGAUAUUAUCUCAUUUGAGAAAACUGAGGCUUGGAGAGGGUACUGAAGCAGAACCAUGGCAGUGGGAUCCUGAGUCCUUCCCUUGUAAUAAGCUCCCUAGGUGACUCAGUGGACGUUUAAGUUCAACUCCUGAAACAGGAAAUCAAGAUAAAAGGUGCCCAGGACUAAGAGUCAGCCCCACGUAGUCCAGCUGGAGAAAGAAUCCAGUCAUUCAGCCAUGCAGGCUUUCCCAGGCUUGUGGAAUCAAGUCACUUUCUUGUGUGUGAUACAUCUGCUAUUCAUCUUCUUCCUCCCAUUCCCUUCUCUCUAGCCUUCAUGAGGAUAAACCUCUACUUUUUCUGACUGGAUGUGAAUAAAGCCUACUUUUAACAAGU